rnacentral:lncRNA from 1 species
CGCCCACCCACGCCGAGGCCCCCUCUCCCACUCGCUGAGCGAGCCCGGCGUUAAUUAACUCUCCCCUCGCCCCCCGCAAUAUCGGAAGACUUUCAAAACUCAUCCCCAAGUGUUUCCUCUUUAAGCCUGAAGCCUGCGCUUGGAAACAACCGCCAGGAAAAGAGGGAGCUGGGUCUGGAAGGAGGGUCGGUCACCUCAAGGCUCCGGGGUAACAGGGCUCCCCCAAGGCCUGCGGGUUGUAGGCGGGGAGGCUGUAACCCCACACCUCCUCCCCCAGUGAAAAAAGGCAAGACGGGUCAAUCAAGAUCAGAAAUAACCCUAAAGUCGGAUUAUUGAUUUCCAUGUAAAUCCGGAGCAGAGGACGCGGCGAGUGAGAGCGAUUUCUGUUUAUUUUCUUUCCGUUCCUCCCCCACCCUUCUCUCAGCCCGCCGGGUUUGGCGCCCCUCCCAGUCCUCUCCGCCCUCCGCCGGGAAGGGACUCUGCGAUGACAUCACCGCGGAGACCCGCGGCCUCCCCGCCCCCGGCCCCGGGACCCCGGAGCGGAGAUUGACAGGUGUCGCUCGCAAGGACAAUGCCUUCCAGGUGUCACCGUCACAGUCUCAUCCCUCCUAACCCGCCCUCUCUGCCCCCUUCCCUUCCAACGCUCCUAGCCGCCCCACCCCCCUUUUCUUCUCCGAGGGAAGCUCUCUCGUCCCCCCCCCCGCCCCCCAGCUCCGCGCAUCUGGGUCCCGGGUCUAGAUAUGCGGGCAGUGGGCCGGCGUGGAAGGGCAGGGAUGGCGGAGACUCGGCUUGCUGUCUGCCGCAGGGCGGCUCGGAGAUCCCAGAGCCGCGGGAAGGGUCCACGCGGCCGUAGCCCGAGAGUGGGCAAAGAGGGAACGGGCGUGUGUUUUUAAGGAACCAGCGCGGUCUCUGGACUUCCUGCCUUCCCUCUGCACCCGCUCCCCGCCCCGCCACCCACACACAUAAUAUAACAGACGCUAAAAUAAUCCUGCCAUCUGGCAAAUCCCAAAUUUGGCGACCAAGCUCCUAAAGCAACGGCGAGGUGUCAUCCCGGGAGUAGGUGGCUGGUCCUGUCCCGCUCUCCCGAUCGGGGACAAGGGCAUCGAGCUCUGCCCGCACCUGCCCCCACCACGGCCGGACCUCGCCCUCCCCACCCCCCCAUCCUUGCUCUGACCCUGGCGACUUUGUGGCGCUUUCCUCCCGAUCUGGGCAGCGGCUCUGGGGGGUGGGGGGAGGUCGGGGGGUCGGGAAUGGGGGUGCAAGAGUUGGGGGGGCUUCCGCUCCAGUUUCCACCAAAAUUGCUCAAUGAGCUAAAACCCAAAUUCGCCUUCAUUAUGUAACACCGAAUGUAAUUUAUAGCCGGGCGGCCUGUCGGCGGCGAUUUAGAUCAUUUGGUGCUAAGGAUCACACUUAUUAGAUUUCUUCAAAGCCGAUGGGGGUUUUUUCUUUCUUUUUCUUUUUCUCUCUUUCUCUCUCUCUUUUUCUUUCUUUCUUUCUUUUUUAAGGAGGGUAUUUGUACUAAAUUGCCCAGUGCUGGUGUGAUAACUGUCAAAAGUUUGACAUCAAAGGAGCUAAUAUUAUUCAGUUACCAGAGAAGCUGUCUGUCUAAAUAAGAAUAUCUUAAUUACUGCAUCACAAAGGUAGGAAAGGGGUCGGAUCUGAAAACGGCAGAGGCAUUCAGCCGCUCCUUUUGAUGCGCUAUCUACGUUAGACCGAUGCGCCGCUCCUAAUCAGGCCUAGUCCGAUUUCCUUUCCUCUCCCUGUCGGUCCUCUGAACUUUAUAACUAUAUGUAAACACGUUGUCAGUGGGGACCUAAUCUUCUCGGGUUCUUAUUAGAAGAAAUUUCCAUCCUCUCUCGUUCUAGAUUAGGCAGUGGAGUCCGCUCCGUCAAUGAAGGGACUAAGGUUUCGUGGACAAUAAUGUGGCAAUUGUUGAUGGUUUGUGACCCAUAAAAUGUGGAGGUGACUGUUCUGGCUUUGGUAUGUAAUUAUGCAAAACACUUUCCAUAAAGACUUGCCAUUCGAUCUAAUGGCAGUCCCUGCGGUCUAUUUCAAAAAGGGAGGGUCUAUGUACAGAGAGAGAAAAGUAACAUUUGUUUUAACACAGGUUUUAUGGGGGGGGGGGAUGGAUAAAUACAAACACAUCGCAGCGCCGCCCAAAGUAUUUUUUGGAGUCAAAUUAAAAUAAUUACGAAGGGGUUUAAUAAGUUAAUCAUAGCAACACGGCCCAUCCAAACACAGAGGGAGGGGUGUUCAGGCUGUAGCUCACCACCUCCCAGCCCGGAACUGUCCUUGAGGGUGGCGAUUUACCUUCUGCUUGUGCAGGGGUGGGGUGCGGCUGUGUCUCAGCUCAGUCCACCUAGGUGCCCCUCUGGGAUCCGAAGGAAGCCUCAGUGGGGGGGCUGAAAUGGGGGGGGGAUGGGCGAUGUCAUCCACCCUCAAAUCUCGUCUGUGGAGUUAUUUGACAGAGGGCACUUGUAACAAAGCAGCUCUCUCUGAGGAAGUCCCCCCCCUUUCCCUCUAGUGCCCCCAGGGCCCCAGGAUUUAGGGAUCCCCAGAAAGGCAGCUCGGAGGGAGUGCCAGGGCUCGGAGGGAGUGCCAGGCAGUGCCUGACCGGUUUGGGUGAGGAGUCUCAACCCCGAGCCCACGCUCAGAGACGUCCGCAGCCCAGCGGGGCCGACUCCCAGCUGCUAGAGCACCUUUGCCAAGCACCCGAGGUUUUAUUUUAUGUGUGUGGUUUUUGAAAUACAACAUAAAGAAUUUUCAAAGGCCUGAGGAGGAAAGGUGGAAUGAGAAGGGUCAUCAUCACCGGUCCCGACCCAGCUCCGGCCGCCAGUUAAUACAAGCAUUUCUCUGCCACUUCCAGGGCCCCCAUCCUGCCUGGAUCCACCCCCCCGCCCCCCCCAGAACUGCUCUGCCACCAGCUCGGAGGCCUCACCGCCCACCACACAGCGACACUGCAGUGUGAGCCCCGCAGAGGCAGGCGACAGGGGAUUUUUCAAGGGGGAAAUGAUGAUUAAAAGACAGAAUCAUCUAAAUAUCAAAGUGACACAUGGGAGACCUGGAAAAAAUAUUUAAGCUAAUGAAAAGCAAAUAAAGAAGGAGGCACCGAGGAUGGGAAAUUAAAUAUUAUGUUUAAGAUGGCGCUUUUGUGUGGGCUUGAAGAUUUCCGAUUCAUGUACACA